CACAGACACAACAGUUUCCAAAAAAUGAAAAGCAUCUCUCAUCCCUCAAAAGAACCUGGGUAAAUGGAGAGAAGAACAAACAAGGAGGAGAAGCAGAGGGAAUAGUUGGGAGUCAAGGCCUGCUUCUGCUGAAUGUCCCUUGAAUGAGGCAGUUCCAUGUGGAGGAUAUAGAGAAAAACAAAUCUGCUUUUCAAGAGCCUUUUCCUGAGAGACAGUCUGAGAUGGCUUCAGCUGCAUAUUUUCCCUUCAGUCCUGAUCAUCUCAGAGAGUUUUAGGGUUUCUUCAUGAGAUGUUGCCACACAAUUAAGUUCCCUGAACAGCAGCAUUGUGAAAGGACAGCAGCACUCCUUGGGAUGGAUUAAUUUCACCCUCCACCAACAGCAAUUGUAAUACUCACAAUGCAAGAUGAAAGAUAAGAAGCAGAAAAACAAACACUUGGGAGAACCUGAUUACAGGAGAGUCCAGCAGUAAAGCGAGUCUCCUGCCAUUUCCCUUUGUCAAUAUAUUCAGUGAUGGCAGAUCCCUCCACAGAGAGGCUACUGCUACUCCCUGCUGAAUGGGAAGUGUGCAAGGCACCCAGGAUGAACUUCACACUCAAGGCAAGUUAGUUUUGAAACCUGCAGUGAGGUUGCUGUCACCUUGACUUCUUUCAACUUUCAUUCAAAAGUUCACUUGAAUCUUGUUUCCUAUUCUAUUCAAACACUGGAAAUCCUGAGAUCCUCCUCCCAGCCUCACCCUACCUCCUCAGACACUGCAAAGACCACAGUAACAUUCGCAUGAAUCCGAGACGCUCAUGUCAUCUCUUGGCACACGUUCCCAGGUCAGCUGUGUGAUGCUGCUUCCUUUCAGAAGAAUGAGGAAACGUUGCCAAUCUCUUUUCUUCCUCUCAUUUUUAGACACUAUUUCACAACAAAGCACAACCCUCAUGACAUUUAAAAAUAAAGAUGUCCAACCAUCAAUUUUCUCUUCCUCCCAUCCAAAAUGUGUUUGAUAUGUUUACUCAAAUAUUUAAAUUAUGAUGUCUUUCCUGUGCCUGAUGUAGUCAUAUUUAAGGUAUUGCAGGUAUUUUUACAAGAUGCAGGUGUAGUCAAAGUAAUCAGCAGUUAAAACCAGAUUGAUCUUUUACCAGUUAUUAAGAAAGACUGAACAGCGAUAUUUAAAUACAUAACAUCCUGCUCCCAAGAAAAUAUGAUUAAAAACAUAUGCUAGUGAAAAGGACCUAGUAUGUUAUUACAAAAAAUGAAACAAUAAGCUAUGCAAAAUGCUGUGUUUUAAAUAGACACUCUACUGAAUACAAUGCAGAUUAUCUGGGAGAAUAUGCAAAUAUCACAGAAGAAAGAUGAGAGGCAUUUUCACUGUGACACAGGAUUUAUCAAGAAGUUAAAAAAUAAAUUUUUUGUCAAUUGAGAGAAUUGUUUGUACAACUCUGGUAUCUGAUACCAGUUCAAUGCUAUUUGGAUGCUCUGGAUUCUCCUUUUUGUCUUAACUUGGUCUGUUUUAGAGACCACACAAACAUUCUUCUGCUAGAAGCAUUUGUUUCUUGAAGUUAUUAUUAGCCACGAAGAUCUAAAGCAGAUCUGUUCUCAGCUACAUUCAUAGCCCAGAUGGGGAUAUUGUGAAGACUCUGCAUGAAGAAUCAAAGCCAAGAUUCCAGAGUCCCGUACAAGAGACCCACAGGAGAUGAAAAGAAGGCUGUCUUCAGCAUUUUCAUCCUACAAGCUAUUUAUGGGACUAUGACUUCAUAGUUUUUUGUUCUCAAGUAGCACAGAUGUGCUCUAUCAGUUCAUAGAUUUGGAAAAAGAAGUGUAGAAUGAGUGUAAGGGGAAAAAAAUCUCUUUUUGCACCUCAAGUUACAGCACUACAAUUAUGGAAGUGAUGGGCUAUGCUUUGUUAUUACUGGGGCAGAUUGUUUAUUCACUUAAAUACUUACAUUAUAUUUUGUCUGACCAUCAUUUGUCUGAGGAGAUUCUGAAGCCAACAACAAUAAAAUAAACAAGCUGAAAAACAAGUUAUCUUUCCCCUGUUCUCAGCUUGUUUAAUAUGCAGGAACAAAUCCUCUCUGAAUUAGCAAAGUGCCUUGAUUUUGACUUGUAUGUUAUAUGUUAUCUGCAUGUUAUUUUGUUGAAGGUUUGUUUUAUUUUUAAACCAAGCAAUGUCACUUUUAAACAACACAUCCUAUCUUCAGAACUCAAGAGAGAUAAAAAUUUAAACAAAACCUGAACAUUAUGGUUAGACUAGAUUAUCCUAGGUAAUUUCCUGCUUAAAUGAUUGUAUGAUUCUGUCCUCUAUAAGAGUGAAGAUAUUAGUAGGUCCAGGAAAUUGACUUGCUGUGCCAUAAAACAA